UGCAGCAGAAGACCCCAGCGUUUU
rnacentral:misc_RNA from 1 species